rnacentral:lncRNA from 1 species
UCAAAAUUAGAAAGUAACAGUAAUUGGUGGUAUAAUCGACACAAGUUAUUAACCUUUCAAUAAAAUAAAUUAAGAAAAUAAAAAAAAAAGCUGUUAAGAACCAAAGGAUAGAAACAUUACAAAAGCUAAAAUUUUCAUAUAUCCCAUCGGGUUGGGUAGUUCCUAGGUCAAAUAUAAUUUUUUGUAUUUUAAAAUGUUUUAGGGUAUGGUUGUGCAUUGCCCGAAUCAUUGUAUCAACAAAAAUAUAUAUUAAAAAAUAUUUAACUCUAAUUAACACUUUGUUGGCUUCGGUGGUUAAAAUUACAAAAUACUCCUUAAUUCUAAUGAAAGUUUGAGAUUGAGAGGCAAAUAAAUUAAAUAGCAGUACUGUUAGGUGUGAUGGCCAGAGUGACUGAAAGAAGCAAUUUCAUUGGUUAUGUCUUAUGGUUGGACAUUUACGCGGUGUUUUUAAAAGUGAUACUAUUAGGCCUAACAGUUUUUCAUAAGCUUGCUUUUGUAUUUAAGUUUUAACGAACUUUAUCCAGCAGUAUUAUACAAAACAAUAUUUUGCAAACACAAGUUAUUCAAACAUUUGUAAGCACGAAAUUGUUGAUUACAAUAUAUAUAUAUAUAGUAGCUUUAUUAGCAACAUAUAAUUCAGAACUUCAACCAUUUAGUAAUAGUAUUAUUAAUAGCAAAACUACUAGUGACUACUACUAACGACUAAGAAGUCGUUAUCGUUUUCACGAUUACUAAACCUACCUGAUACUGAAGUAAUUACUGUUGGGGAAAACAUACCAAGUGGACAUUCUGAUAAUGACUUUGUGUGAGAACUUGUUAGAAAAAUUUAAUUCCCAUUUAGACCCAACUGAGAAGUUCAUAAACGGAGAACUUGACAAAUGUCAGCAGAAUGCACUGAUGUGUUUACAAUGCUUUAUAAAUAGUACAAAACACUGGGAUCGUGAGAAACGAGGAAUAGAAAAAUAUUUCCAAACACUAAAGGAAGAUGUAUAAGAACAGAAAAAAGUCAUAGAAAGUCAAGAAAGAAAAGAUCAAGAACUAAUCAAGUAGUUAAGUGAUAUUCAAGAAGAGAUAGAGCAUUUUCUUCUGGAAGAGAAAGAACUUCAAACACUUCUAAAUUCAACUGAAACUAGUCUUCGAAGAAAAAAAAUCAGGUAUUGAAGCCAAGGAAAAAUCAUCCCAUGAAGAAGUUUUACAGUGUGAGAAAGCUUUGUCUUACUUCCAACAAAGAUGAUUGGCUCACAUGCAUCUUCUCAUCCAUUGAUCAAAAUGAUGCAGAAAGAAAGUUUACUUUUGCACUAAAAGUGAAUGACAGAAAUAUUUUUGAAGGCAGGAGAUGUGUAUAAUAAUUUCCUUGUGAUGAUUGAAACACUUGUUUAAUAUUUUUUUCCCAUUAGAAGUUUAAAUUUGUAGCUUACAUAACUGUGAU